UACGUAGGGUACAAGCGUUGUCCGGAAUUAUUGGGCGUAAAGAGCUCGUAGGCGGUUUGUUGCGUCGGCUGUGAAAUCCCGAGGCUCAACCUCGGGUCUGCAGUCGAUACGAGCAAACUAGAGUGUUGCAGGGGAGACUGGAAUUCCUGGUGUAGCGGUGAAAUGCGCAGAUAUCAGGAGGAACACCGGUGGCGAAGGCGGGUCUCUGGGCAACAACUGACGCUGAGGAGCGAAAGCGUGGGGAGCGAACGGG
rnacentral:rRNA from 1 species